GAAAAUUCGUCUGCCAGUCAACGUGUUAAUCGCCGAAAUAAAAGAUCUUCGUCGAUAUACAUUUGCACGCGUCUCGGCACCCUCUUUGUCUCACCAUCUUCUGUACCACGCUGCCAACGGAACAGUUGCAUUCACCUGUUUUUCCAGACGCUGUGCACACACAUACUUCCAUACAUUCAUACUCGCAUACGUGUGUCACUACUACGCGGCUAAUCUAGUUUGGCACAGAAAAUUGCACAUAUCUCGAUAGUACAGACGAAGCUUUCGCAUAAGUAAAAACCAGCAACGUGGAAUAUACAUUGACGCACUUAUGCAGUUUUGACGAGCCAAAAGUUGACUUACGCUGUUCCGUCGCCCACCACGCAUAUAAAACAGUCAAAGUGUAUAGCGCUUCGUUAAGUCUAACUGAAAUUACAAGGAUAAGAAGAUAGAUUUUGUGGCAGUAAUAGGACAUAAGAUAAGAUAAUGCGAAUGGAGACGUAACCGGAAUCCAUGGAAAGCCAGAAAGCACGGAUCAUAAAUAAAUAAUAAAACAACGGAAAAUAAUAAAUUUGCAUAAAAAUUCGCAAUCUAAUUGUAGCCAAGUGCGAGCAUAUAACUUCCACGAACGAUUCUUUUAUUGAUGUUAUUCCGAUCGGUGGAUUUGGUGCAAGUAUUUUUUCAAGAAAUCCAGCCUUUCGCGAAUUGUUUGAAGAAACGGCUUGUUAAAUGAUAAGGAAACAGUUGCAACUCGUUUGCGAACUAUAUUCUUCAAGUUUGCCAGAAGAGCAAUGAAAAUGUUGGCAAUAUGAGGUCGGUUAGGAACGAAAUGAAACGAGUCGCGAUAUUCCGUUCUUUGAUUCUUUCCAGUUUUACUCGCUUUUUAUUAUUCCUCUGCCUCCUUCGUUUACUCAUCUUCAAAGGCUCCGUUUAAACGAUCCACCGAAAACUUUUCAUAAGUUUUAGAUGAGUAAUCGAUCGAACUUUGCUGUCGUGGUUGGAAAAUACUCUUAAAUUAUUAAAUAGCAUGAAUAGCGUGAUAUAAUCUCGCGGAAAAUACAGAAAUUUAUGGAAGGAAAGGAAUAGGCAAACACCGCGCCACAUCUGCAAUUUUGCGUGCUACCUCAAAUUUCAAGGGAACCGUAAGGCAAAUAGCCGAAGAAGAAGCAGCAGUCACAACAGAUGUAAGAAACGUGCGUGGAAUUUUGUGAGAAAGCAAACAACCAGGAAAAAUGAAAACAACCGGCCUUCCUUAGCGGAGAAACGAAGAAAAUAAUAGAUGCACAGGAUUUUUUGUUUUAAUGCAAAGGAAACGUGUCCUACGACAGCUAGAAGACGAUCGAAGAUAAAGAGCGCAAAAUUUGACAGAUUAGGCUUCAUGUUUGUAUCAACAUGGCCACAUAAAGCAGCUGCGUGCAGAUAGCGAAAGACAUUUUUGGGACAACUUAAUAUAAACUCACAUUGGAGAAAUAUGCGGCUUAUUCUGCUUUUGCUCUCAAUGUACCUCGCAUUAAGUAUAAGUACCACUUAUACUGCUCAUUUCAUCGAGUAUAAGUACUACUCAUUUAUAGCUAGAUGAGCAGUUAUUGCGAGAAAUGUAUGAACGUUCAUUAAGAACGCGUAUUUAUAUUAAAUGCAUUGUACGACGUUCCUGCGCAUGAAAAAGGAAUGAAAAUAUUUGUUAAAGCAAUUUUGCUUCGAACGAUACUUUAAGGCCAUCUAUAUUUUCGUAAUACUGUCACCAAAUAUUUGUCAUUUCGAAGAUCUACCGGUACUUAAUUAAUUCCAACUUAGAGGAUGAGCACAGUGCAGACGGAAGAUUGCGCUACUUACAGGAAAAUCCACGUCUUUUCCAAGUAGAUGCGUCUUUGACGCUUUGUUCGGUGCUUCAAUAGAAAAUGGCUUGCCAUAAUAAACCUUGGGGCUUGUGUUCGCCGUUAACUAUGUAAGCUUUUAAGGGUCUCCAUCAUCUUCUAGCUUCCCUUUUCACGAAUAUUCAAAUUGCUCUGCAAUCGAAGGUGUCAGUGAAGAUGGCUACAAAGAUUUUAACAAUAAUUUCUACCCGCCACAAUAUCCAAAUGUAAUUAAUCACAUGUAAUUAGUGAAAAGACGAAUAAGAACAUGUUGGGAGUUCAUACAUUUAACACUAGAACUACCGCACCAGUCAAAUUGACUGGUUUUACAAUUUUAUUUCAAAAUUCCUACUUCGUGUUAUAUUUUUUCCGCAAUGGUGUAAUGAAUUUCGCAACUAACGAUAACUAAAGGAAUAGUAUAAUGAAUUUUAUUUUGUUUUUUAUGUAUUCAAACUGAAAAUAAUUUUGUAUCAAGGCUACUUAACCAAUACUAGUCAAAAUGUAAAAGGAUCCCGCAAUCUGUUUGUCGAACCUCAAUUAACCAGAUUCCUCGUUUUCUACACCUUGCCACACGUUCUUCAAAUUUUUACCGCGUAUCAUUCGAUAUGACGAUAUCAGUUAUCAGGAAAAUUGCGGAUCGAUCGCUAGAUCGCUAGAUGCUAACG